UGGUCAAGUUAUUAAGGGUGCAGGGCGGAUGCCUUGGCACUAGGGGCCGAUGAAGGACGUGAUAAGCUGCGAUAAGCUUCGGGGAGUUGCACGUAAACUUUGAUCCGAAGAUUUCCGAAUGAGGAAACUCACUUAGAGUAAUGUCUAAGUAUCAUUAAGUGAAUACAUAGCUUAAUGAGGGGAACUCAGGGAACUGAAACAUCUAAGUACCUGAAGGAAGAGAAAGAAANUCGAUUCCGUAGNGNGNGGNGNGCGAACGCGGAUGCGCCCAAACCAAUACAGUNUUCUUUAUUGGCGUUGCGGACAUAACAUAACGAAGAGGUAUCGUAAUUGCAGAGGCUUGGAAAGCCCCUCCACAGAAGGUAAUAGUCCUGUAUGUUAAUCGAGAAGACUU
rnacentral:rRNA from 1 species